UAUAUUCAGUGGUGAAUAUAUUCUGAAUAAACACGUGUACCGAGAUGCAAUUCAAAAAGCCCGCCUUUUACAUAGAUAUAUAUAGUUAAACAAUCGUC